rnacentral:rRNA from 1 species
GUAGGUGGCAAGCGUUGUCCGGAAUUAUUGGGCGUAAAGCGCGCGCAGGGCGGUCCUUUAAGUCUGAUGUGAAAGCCCACGGCUCAACCGUGGAGGGUCAUUGGAAACUGGGGGACUUGAGUACAGAAGAGGAAAGCGGAAUUCCAAGUGUAGCGGUGAAAUGCGUAGAGAUUUGGAGGAACACCGGUGGCGAAGGCGGCUUUCUGGUCUGUAACUGACGCUGAGGCGCGAAAGCGUGGGGAGCAAACAGGAUUAGAUACCCUGGUAGUCCACGCCGUAAACGAUGAGUGCUAAGUGUUAGGGGGUUUCCGCCCCUUAGUGCUGCAGCUAACGCAUUAAGCACUCCGCCUGGGGAGUACGGCCGCAAAGGCUG